rnacentral:tRNA from 1 species
UAGGGUAUCCAAGUGGCUAAAGGAUGCGGACUGUAAAUCCGCCCGCUUCGUGCGUUCGUCGGUUCGAAUCCGACCCCUACCACCA